rnacentral:rRNA from 1 species
UAAUUCUCUAGUGGCGCACGGGUGAGUAACACGUGAGUAACCUGCCCCCGAGAGCGGGAUAGCCCUGGGAAACUGGGAUUAAUACCGCAUAGUAUCGAAAGAUUAAAGCAGCAAUGCGCUUGGGGAUGGGCUCGCGGCCUAUUAGUUAGUUGGUGAGGUAACGGCUCACCAAGGCGAUGACGGGUAGCCGGUCUGAGAGGAUGUCCGGCCACACUGGAACUGAGACACGGUCCAGACACCUACGGGAGGCAGCAG